rfam:Schistosoma rodhaini strain Burundi genome assembly, scaffold: SROB_scaffold0002770
GCACUACUGAAGAGUCCCGCAAUAGGACUAAACGGCCGUCCAGUGC